rnacentral:rRNA from 1 species
CUACGGAGGGUGCAAGCGUUACUCGGAAUCACUGGGCGUAAAGCGCGCGCAGGCGGCUAUUUAAGUUGGAUGUGAAAGCCUACGGCUCAACCGUAGAACUGCAUCCAAAACUAUUUAGCUAGAGUGUGGGAGAGGAAGAUGGAAUUAGUUGUGUAGGGGUAAAAUCCGUAGAGAUAACUAGGAAUACCAAAAGCGAAGGCAAUCUUCUGGAACACUACUGACGCUGCGGCGCGAAAGCGUGGGGAGCAAACGGGAUUAGAUACCCGAGUAGUCC